rnacentral:misc_RNA from 1 species
UUCCCGUAGGUGAACCUGCGGAAGGAUCAUUAUUGAAUUGUUUGUUUGAAUUGGCUUAAAACCCCAAUUCAGCAAUACAUAUCCAUAACACCUGUGCACUGUUGGAUGAGCAAACUCGCAAGAGCAAGCAAGUCCACUUUUACACCAAACAAUUUGUAACAAAUGUAGUCUUAUUAUAACAAUAAUAAAACUUUCAACAACGGAUCUCUUGGUUCUCGCAUCGAUUGAAGAACGCAGC